rnacentral:Y_RNA from 1 species
AUGGCGAAUGCAAAGGAAACUACAUCGGCCGCGGCGGGUUCGAAUCCCGCAGGGGAAGUCACGUUCCCAUUCUGGUAGCGGAUGUUUCCUUAUCACUCGUCGUCAUGAC